rnacentral:rRNA from 1 species
AUUGAACGCUGGCGGCAGGCCUAACACAUGCAAGUCGAGCGAGCGGCGGACGGGUGAGUAAUGUCUGGUAAACUGCCUGAUGGAGGGGGAUAACUACUGGAAACGGUAGCUAAUCCCGCAUACCAUCAGAUGUGCCAAGGUGGGAUUGGCUAGGAGGUGGGGUAACGGCUCACCUAGGCGACGAGCCCUAGCGGUUCUGAGAGGAUGACCAGCCACACUGGAACGUAGACACGGUCCAGACUCCUACGGGAGGCAGCAGUGGGGAAUAUUGCACAAUGGGCGCAAGCCUGAUGCAGCCAUGCCGCGUGUGUGAAGAAGGCCUUCGGGUUGUAAAGCACGUUCAGCGGGGAGGCGUUACCCGCACAAGAAGCACCGGCUAACUCCGUGCCAGCAGCCGCGGUAAUAC